GCAAGUCGAGCGGAAAGGCCCUUCGGGGUACUCGAGCGGCGAACGGGUGAGUAACACGUGAGCAACCUGCCCCAGGCUUUGGGAUAACCCCGGGAAACCGGGGCUAAUACCGAAUAUGACCUCCGAUCGCAUGGUUGGUGGUGGAAAGUUUUUCGGCUUGGGAUGGGCUCGCGGCCUAUCAGCUUGUUGGUGGGGUGAUGGCCUACCAAGGCGACGACGGGUAGCCGGCCUGAGAGGGCGACCGGCCACACUGGGACUGAGACACGGCCCAGACUCCUACGGGAGGCAGCAGUGGGGAAUAUUGCACAAUGGGCGGAAGCCUGAUGCAGCGACGCCGCGUGAGGGAUGACGGCCUUCGGGUUGUAAACCUCUUUCAGCAGGGACGAAGCGUAAGUGACGGUACCUGCAGAAGAAGCGCCGGCCAACUACGUGCCAGCAGCCGCGGUAAGACGUAGGGCGCGAGCGUUGUCCGGAUUUAUUGGGCGUAAAGAGCUCGUAGGCGGCUUGUCGCGUCGACUGUGAAAACCCGCAGCUCAACUGCGGGCCUGCAGUCGAUACGGGCAGGCUAGAGUUCGGUAGGGGAGACUGGAAUUCCUGGUGUAGCGGUGAAAUGCGCAGAUAUCAGGAGGAACACCGGUGGCGAAGGCGGGUCUCUGGGCCGAUACUGACG
rnacentral:rRNA from 1 species